AUGAACGCUGGCGGCGUGCUUAACACAUGCAAGUCGAACGGGCCCUUUCUUUCGGGGAGGGGUUAGUGGCAGACGGGUGCGUAACACGUGGGUGACCUGCCCUGGAGUGGGGGAUAAUUCCGCUAACGCGGGACUAAUACCGCAUAAGCUCACUGAUUCAGUUGAGUGAGAAAAGCUCCGGUGCUCUGGGAUGGGCCUGCGGCGGAUUAGGUAGUUGGUGGGGUAACGGCCUACCAAGCCGAUGAUCCGUAGGGGGCGUGAGAGCGUGGCCCCCCACACUGGCACUGAGAUACGGGCCAGACUCCUACGGGAGGCAGCAGUGAGGAAUAUUGCACAAUGGGCGGAAGCCUGAUGCAGCAACGCCGCGUGAGGGACGAAGGCCUUCGGGUCGUAAACCUCUUUUCUGAGGGAAGAGACAAGGACGGUACCUCAGGAAUAAGUCUCGGCUAACUACGU
rnacentral:rRNA from 1 species